rnacentral:rRNA from 1 species
GCGAGUGAAGCGGUAACAGCUCAAAUUUGAAAUCUGGUCCGGUUCCGGGCCCGAGUUGUAAUUUGUAGAAGAUGCUUUGGGUGCGGCUCCGGCCUAAGUUCCUUGGAACAGGGCGUCAUAGAGGGUGAGAAUCCCGUCUGCGGCCGGCUGCCUGCGCCCGUGUAAAGCUCUUUCGACGAGUCGAGUUGUUUGGGAAUGCAGCUCUAAAUGGGUGGUAUAUUUCAUCUAAAGCUAAAUAUUGGCCAGAGACCGAUAGCGCACAAGUAGAGUGAUCGAAAGAUGAAAAGCACUUUGGAAAGAGGGUUAAACAGUACGUGAAAUUGUUGAAAGGGAAGCGCUUGCAGCCAGACUCGCGGGCCGUCGAUCACCCGGUGUUCUCACCGGGGCACUCGGCGGCCCUCGGGCCAGCAUCAGUUCGGGCGGCCGGAUAAAGGCCGCGGGAAUGUGGCUCCCCUCGGGGAGUGUUAUAGCCCGCGGUGCAAUGCGACCUGCCUGGACUGAGGACCGCGCUUCGGCU